rnacentral:rRNA from 1 species
UACGUAGGUGGCAAGCGUUGUUCGGAAUUAUUGGGCGUAAAGGGCGCGUAGGCGGCCUUCUAAGUCGGACGUGAAAUCCCCAGGCUUAACCUGGGAACUGCGUCCGAUACUGGAGGGCUUGAGUGCGGGAGAGGGAUGUGGAAUUCCAGGUGUAGCGGUGAAAUGCGUAGAUAUCUGGAGGAACACCGGUGGCGAAGGCGGCAUCCUGGACCGACACUGACGCUGAGGCGCGAAAGCCAGGGGAGCAAACGGG